rnacentral:tRNA from 1 species
GGGGGUAUAGCUCAAGUGGUAGAGCACCUGCUUAGCAUGCAUGAGGUCCUGGGUUCAAUCCCCAGUACCUCCU